AGUGGCCACAGGGGUUGGUGGGUCCCUUUUAUUCCUGGUCCUGCUUGUGGCUGUCAUCGUGACCUGGCACUGGUGGCACCACCUGGCCUCCAGGAAGCACCAGGAAAGGGCCCCCCCGGAGCCCCCAGCCCCCCCCAGAGGAGGGGGAGGUUCUGUACACCCCCGUUGUGAGCACCAAACAG